rnacentral:rRNA from 1 species
GGACUACUGGGGUUUCUAAUCCUGUUUGCUACCCACGCUUUCGCGCCUCAGCGUCAGAUGAUGCCCAGUUUGCUGCCUUCGCCAUGGGUGUUCCUCCUGAUAUCUAUGCAUUUCACCGCUACACCAGGAAUUCCACAAACCUCUGCAUCCCUCCAGUCUGCCAGUAUGCGAAGCAGUUUCCGGGUUGAGCCCUGGAGAUUUCACUUCACACUUAACAGACCGCCUACGCGCUCUUUACGCCCAGUAAAUCCGGACAACGCUUGGACCCUACGUCUUACCGCGGCUGCUGGCAC